rnacentral:rRNA from 1 species
CCUACGGGAGGCAGCAGUGAGGAAUAUUGGUCAAUGGACGCAAGUCUGAACCAGCCAUGCCGCGUGCAGGAAGACGGCUCUAUGAGUUGUAAACUGCUUUUGUACGAGGGUAAACGCAGACCCGUGUAUGUGUCUGUAAGUAUCGUACGAAUAAGGCAUGGCCAACUCCGGGCCAGCAGCCGCGGUAAUACGGAGGAUUCAGGGGUUAUCCGGAUUUGUUGGGGUUAAAGGGGGCGUAGGCGGUGGGAUAAGUUAGAGGUGAAAACUCGGGGCUAAACUUCGGCAGUGCCUGUGAUACUGGUCGGCUAGAGAGUAGUUGCAGUAGGCGGAAUGUAUGGUGUAGCGGUGAAAUGCUUAGAGAUCAUACAGAACCCCGAUUGCGAAGGCAGCUUACCGGGCUACUACUGACGUUGAGGCACGAAAGCGUGGGUAGCGAACAGGAUUAGAUACCCGGGUAGUC